rnacentral:rRNA from 1 species
UGCAUGAAGUUGGAAUCGCUAGUAAUCGCGGAUCAGCAUGCCGCGGUGAAUACGUUCCCGGGCCUUGUACACACCGCCCGUCACACCAUGAGAGUUGGGAAUACCCGAAGCCUGUGAGCUAACUUUUAGAGGCAGCAGUCGAAGGUAGAAUCAAUGAUUGGGGUGAAGUCGUAACAAGGUAUC